CCCGAAAUGGGAGUGCGAACCUCCCACACCGAAUAUCUAAGGUUUCCGACGGAAGGUCAGUCCGCGUCGGGUUAGUCGGACCUAAGCCGAGGCCGAAGGGCGUAGGCGAUGGACAACGGGUUAAUAGUCCCGUACUUGCAUGUGGAAGAGCGUAAACCCUUGGUGAAGUCAGAGCCUCUGAGUGGAUUGAGGUGGUAAGCGGAGCAAUACCGUGACGCCGGGCGCAAGCCAGAAGUCUGAGGCACUCCGAGGCGAGAAAAACUACGUUUCUGUUGAAGCAUGUAAACCGUACCGUAAACCGACACAGGUAGAUGGGUUGAGAAUACCACGGUGAACGAGAGAACCUUCGUCAAGGAAUUAGGCAAAAUGGCCCCGUAACUUCGGGAGAAGGGGCACCCGGGCAACCGGGUCGCAGUGAAGAGGCUCUGCCGACUGUUUACCAAAAGCACAGGUCUCUGCCAAGCCGAAAGGCGACGUAUAGGGGCUGACGCCUGCCCAGUGCCGGAAGGUUAAGGGGAUCUGUUCACGCAGAGAACUGAAGCCCCGGUGAACGGCGGCCGUAACUAUAACGGUCCUAAGGUAGCGAAAUUCCUUGUCGGGUAAGUUCCGACCCGCACGAAAGGCGUAACGAGUGGAGCACUGUCUCGACGGAGGACUCGGCGAAAUUGAAGUAUGCGUGAAAAUGCGUAUUCCCCGCAGCAGGACAAAAAGACCCUGUGGAGCUUUACUAUAGCCUGUCAUUGCGUUAGGGUGUUGUCUGUGUAGGAUAGCUGGGAGGCGGAGAAAUCGGGACGCUAGUUUCGAUGGAGCCAACGGUGAAAUACCAGCCUGAUGACAUCUUGACCCUAACCUGCAUGUAACAGCAUGAGAGACAGUGACUGGUGGGUAGUUUGACUGGGGCGGUCGCCUCCAAAAAGGUAACGGAGGCGCUCAAAGGUUGGCUCAGACGGAAUGGAAACCCGUCGUUGCGUGUAAAGGCACAAGCCAGCUUGACUGCGAGAGAGACAGCUCGAGCAGGGACGAAAGUCGGACUUAGUGAUCCUACGGCUCGAAGUGGAACGGCCGUAGCUUACCGGAUAAAAGCUACCCCGGGGAUAACAGGCUAGUCUUGCCCAAGCGCCCAUAGCGACGGCAAGGCUCGGCACCUCGAUGUCGGCUCAUCGCAUCCUGGGGCUGGAUAAGGUCCCAAGGGUUGGGCUGUUCGCCCAUUAAAGCGGUACGUGAGCUGGGUUCAGACCGUCGUGAGACAGGUCGGUCUCUAUCCGCUGUGGGCGUUGGGUAUUUGAGAGGAGCUGCCCCUAGUACGAGAGGACCGGGGUGGACGAAGCGCUCGUGUGUCGGUUGUUGUGCCAACAGCAUAGCCGAGUAGCGACCUUCGGAAGGGAUAACCGCUGAAAGCAUCUAAGUGGGAAGCUCGCCUCAAGAUGAGAUACCCCAGAUCUAAAAGAUCGUAAGACCCCUGGAAGACUACCAGGUUGAUAGGCGGGAGGUGGAAGCGCAGUAAUGUGUGUAGCUGACCCGUACUAAUGGUCGAGGGCU
rnacentral:rRNA from 1 species